rnacentral:rRNA from 2 species
CCUUGAUAGCAACGGGACCCGUGAACUCGCAUCGAUGAAGAACGUAGCGAAAUGCGAUACCUGGUGUGAAUUGCAGAAUCCCGCGAACCAUCGAGUCUUUGAACGCAAGUUGCGCCCGAGGCCACUCGGCCGAGGGCACGCCUGCCUGGGCGUCA